GACGAACGCUGGCGGCGUGCCUAAUACAUGCAAGUAGAACGCUGAAGGAGGAGCUUGCUCUUCUGGAUGAGUUGCGAACGGGUGAGUAACGCGUAGGUAACCUGCCUGGUAGCGGGGGAUAACUAUUGGAAACGAUAGCUAAUACCGCAUAAGAGUAGAUGUUGCAUGACAUUUACUUAAAAGGUGCAAUUGCAUCACUACCAGAUGGACCUGCGUUGUAUUAGCUAGUUGGUGGGGUAACGGCUUACCAAGGCGAGGAUACAUAGCCGACCUGAGAGGGGGAUCGGCCACACUGGGACUGAGACACGGCCCAGACUCCUACGGGAGGCAGCAGUAGGGAAUCUUCGGCAAUGGACGGAAGUCUGACCGAGCAACGCCGCGUGAGUGAAGAAGGUUUUCGGAUCGUAAAGCUCUGUUGUAAGAGAAGAAAGAGUGUGAGAGUGGAAAGUUCACACUGUGACGGUAUCUUACCAGAAAGGGACGGCUAACUACGUG
rnacentral:rRNA from 1 species